rnacentral:rRNA from 1 species
CCUACGGGAGGCAGCAGUGAGGAAUAUUGGUCAAUGGACGAGAGCCUGAACCAGCCAAGUAGCGUGAAGGAUGACGGCCCUACGGGUUGUAAACUUCUUUUAUAAAGGAAUAAAGCGAGUUACGUGUGCGUCUUUGCAUGUACUGUAUGAAUAAGGAUCGGCUAACUCCGUGCCAGCAGCCGCGGUAAUACGGAGGAUCCGAGCGUUAUCCGGAUUUAUUGGGUUUAAAGGGAGCGUAGAUCGCUUGUUAAGUCAGUUGUGAAAGUUUGCGGCUCAACCGGAAAAUUGCAAUUGAUACUGGCAGGCUUGAGUACAGGUGAGGUAGGCGGAAUUCGUGGUGUAGCGGUGAAAUGCUUAGAUAUGACGAAGAACCCCGAUUGCGAAGGCAGCUUACUAAACUGUAACUGACAUUGAUGCUCGAAAGUGUGGGUAUCGAACAGGAUUAGAUACCCUAGUAGUC